rnacentral:rRNA from 2 species
GCGCGAAACCUCUGCAAUGCGGGAAACCGUGACAGGGGGAUCCCAAGUGCUCAUGCAUUGCAUGGGCUGUUCUUUGGUCUAAGUAACCAGAGGAGUAAGGGCUGGGCAAGACCGGUGC